rnacentral:rRNA from 1 species
AACGAACGCUGGCGGCAUGCCUAACACAUGCAAGUCGAACGAGACCUUCGGGACUAGUGGCGCACGGGUGCGUAACGCGUGGGAACCUGCCCUUAGGUUCGGAAUAACUCCCCGAAAGGGGUGCUAAUACCGGAUAAUGUCUUCGGACCAAAGAUUUAUCGCCUUUGGAUGGGCCCGCGUUGGAUUAGCUAGUUGGUAGGGUAAAAGCCUACCAAGGCGACGAUCCAUAGCUGGUCUGAGAGGAUGAUCAGCCACACUGGGACUGAGACACGGCCCAGACUCCUACGGAAGGCAGCAGUGGGGAAUAUUGGACGAUGGGCGAGAGCCUGAUCCAGCAAUGCCGCGUGAGUGAUGAAGGCCUUAGGGUUGUAAAGCUCUUUUACCCGGGAUGAUAAUGACGGUACCGGGAGAAUAAGCUCCGGCUAACUCCGUG